rnacentral:snoRNA from 2 species
GGAGAAGCAAAGUGAUGAGCAUUAUUGGCUAGAGCCCCAAAGAGGCACAUGUGUGUAUGUGUGUGUAUGUAUGUGUGUCUGUAUCCUUGUCUGUGCAUGCACAUGUAUGUCUGGGAGUACGAAUGUGUCUGACUGAUUAUAGGGAACUAGUCUAUGUGCCUUCUGUUGGACGAUGACAGUCAAACUGAUAAGAUCUGAUUGCUUC